rnacentral:rRNA from 1 species
GAGUUUGAUCGUGGCUCAGGAUGAACGCUAGCGGCAGGCCUAACACAUGCAAGUCGAGGGGUAGUCCAGCAAUGGAUGAGACCGGCGCACGGGUGCGUAACGCGUAUGCAACCUACCUUGAACAGGGGGAUAGCCCAGAGAAAUUUGGAUUAAUACCCCAUGGUAUAAUUAGAUGGCAUCAUUUGAUUAUUAAAGUUCCAACGGUUCAAGAUGGGCAUGCGUCCCAUUAGCUAGAUGGUAAGGUAACGGCUUACCAUGGCUACGAUGGGUAGGGGUCCUGAGAGGGAGAUCCCCCACACUGGUACUGAGACACGGACCAGACUCCUACGGGAGCAGCAGUGAGGAAUAUUGGACAA